rnacentral:rRNA from 1 species
AACGAACGCUGGCGGCAUGCCUAACACAUGCAAGUCGAACGAGACCUUCGGGUCUAGUGGCGCACGGGUGCGUAACGCGUGGGCAUCUGCCCUUUGGUUCGGAAUAACAGUUGGAAACGACUGCUAAUACCGGAUGAUGACGAAAGUCCAAAGAUUUAUCGCCAGAGGAUGAGCCCGCGUAGGAUUAGCUAGUUGGUGUGGUAAAGGUGCACCAAGGCGACUAUCCUUAGCUGGUCUGAGAGGAUGAGCAGCCACCCUGGGACUGAGACACGGGACGGACUCCGACGGGAGGCAGCAGUGGGGGAGAUUGGAAAAUGGGCGAAUGCCUGAUCCAGCAAUGCCGCGUGAUGGAUGAAGGCCUUAGGGUUGUAAAGCUCUUGUACCCGGGAUGAUAAUGACAGUACCGGGAGAAUAGGCUCCGGCUGACUCCGUGCCAGCCGCCGCCGUAA